AUAUAGGUAAGCUAAUCAAGCUUUUAGGCUCAUACCCUAAAUAUAAAAUUAAACCUUUUCUUAUAUA
rnacentral:tRNA from 1 species